rnacentral:rRNA from 1 species
UACGUAGGUGGCAAGCGUUGUCCGGAUUUACUGGGCGUAAAGAGCGCGCAGGCGGUCGUCCAAGUCGCGUGUGAAAGCCCCCGGCUCAACUGGGGAGGGUCACGCGAUACUGGUCGACUCGAAGGCAGGAGAGGGUAGUGGAAUUCCCGGUGUAGUGGUGAAAUGCGUAGAUAUCGGGAGGAACACCAGUGGCGAAGGCGGCUCACUGGACCGGUACUGACGCUGAGACGCGAAAGCGUGGGGAGCGAACAGG